rnacentral:lncRNA from 12 species
GUGCAAUUAUUAUUAUCAGCAUCUAGAAAGCAUCACACGGAGCAUUGACCUUCAUGCUGCAUUGUUCUUACUGGAUCCUCCUAUCCGUGAACAUUAUGCCAAGUACCAAUACAGCAUCAAGUCAUUUCUGGAUGGAAAGUUUUCAAACUUCUUCAUUUGGAGUUACUUAAACGUGAGGGUGUUGGGAUUUUUGAGGAUGCCUUCCCUAUGUGGAUUAUUACAGUUUGAUGACUGAUUCUCUGCCUCAAAGAAGAGAACUAGAGAGAUGGAUACUUCCUUGGAGAAGGUGAUUUUUGCAGCCUUUGAAUAAAAGCACUUCCAGUUCUACCUUCAGCUGAAAAUCAGUGGUGUCUGGUGUUUAUCAGAAGCCACUCAACACUCUCAUGCCCAGAUUAUUUUGCUAUCUGGAAACUCAUGCCCACCUCUUUGACUUCGGGUCAAAAUUGCUUUCCUCACAGUCUGACUGGGAAAGUUGUAAAACAUUAGAAUGUCCUUCAGCGGUGGGCUGUGGAAUGUCAUUACUCUCAGGUGACUACGGAAGCAUUAGCACCCUGCAUGCUCAGGUGGCCCCCACUCCUACGGACACAGCUCUUUCACCUAUACGGUUUUCUUCUGUAUUUCCUGAUAUAAGUCUCCCCCUGACCCCACUGGAAUGCAUGGAUUUGCAUUUGUUCUUCCAGGAGUGUCUAACUGGAUGUCCUCUGCAAAUUCAUCAAAUGUGCCAUCUUUUCCAUCAUGUGGUCAUCCCUGGGAUCAUCAUCGAACAUCGUUCUCCACCACUCUGGUCCAUGGAUGGUUGUUCUCUUUUGUCCAUUCCAUCAAAUGUCCUGAACACUGUCAGAAGAGGGAAAAGGCUAAUGGAGCUGUUAAGUCUAAGUAUGACUGCCAAGAUGAAUCCAAAAAAGCCAAAGAGCCUGAGCAUGUCAGACCUUCCUGCAGCCUGCCACACACACUUAAAACCCCAGGGAAAUGAGUGCGGCUCAGGAGGGGGGAAGAGCGCCAACCAGUCAGAUUGCUCAAUCCCAAGACAAAGAACUCGUGGAUCAUGGGCUAGAAAAAAGGGUUAA